rnacentral:other from 3 species
GCUUGGCUGCUACGUUGGUGAAUGCCUAUCAAGUUUUUUGAUCUAUGCUUGAGUUAUAAGGGAACCAACAGCAUUUAUGCGGCAGUAAACCGAGCAAGUACUCGGAAACAGAAGCGUAAAGCGUAAGUACCCACCUGGUUUAUCCAGGUCAUAAACUGAGGUAAAACGGCGUGGCGGUCGGCUU